AUUGAACGCUGGCGGCAUGCCUUACACAUGCAAGUCGAGCGGAUGAAGAGAGCUUGCUCUCUGAUUUAGCGGCGGACGGGUGAGUAAUGCCUAGGAAUCUGCCUGGUAGUGGGGGAUAACGUUCCGAAAGGAACGCUAAUACCGCAUACGUCCUACGGGAGAGAGCAGGGGACCUUCGGGCCUUGCGCUAUCAGAUGAGCCUAGGUCGGAUUAGCUAGUUGGUGAGGUAAUGGCUCACCAAGGCUACGAUCCGUAACUGGUCUGAGAGGAUGAUCAGUCACACUGGAACUGAGACACGGUCCAGACUCCUACGGGAGGCAGCAGUGGGGAAUAUUGGACAAUGGGCGGAAGCCUGAUCCAGCCAUGCCGCGUGUGUGAAGAAGGUCUUCGGAUUGUAAAGCACUUUAAGUUGGGAGGAAGGGCAGUAAGUUAAUACCUUGCUGUUUUGACGUUACCGACAGAAUAAGCACCGGCUAACUUCGUGCCAGCCGCCGCGGUAAAAC
rnacentral:rRNA from 1 species